UGAAUUUAUGCUUGUCACAAAGGGAAAAGGGAAACACACACACACACACACACACACACACACACACACACACACACACACACACACAUUUAAAAAAGAUAACAAGACAGUACUAUUAGGGAUAGAAUAUCAUACAGAAAUAAACAGAGUGACACCAGUGCAAAUUACCAAGAUGGAAAUAUCGAGUGAGCAGUUCAUCUAGGGUGUUAUCCGCAAGUAGAUGGCGAAGUCGUCUAUUGAUGGAAGUCCCCGAGUCAGCAGGCCGUCACGCUGUGGGCAGUGGUGGCAGUAGUGUCCCAGCGUGUUGUCGUUAGAGUAGUGACAAGGCAGGCACGAGGUGAAGUGGGGUUCGUCCUCCACCCCGGAUACUUGCCACAGUGGCCAGUAGCCCAGACGUAGCCUGGCUGCUAUCACAUUGUGCCACGUCACCAUGAGACCCCGGCACCGGUACUUAUAGUGGUGAUGGCGGAAGGCGCCGUAAUGCUGGAUGGAGACGUUGUUGGCUCAUUGAUGGUCUCUGUGCUGUCUGGAGGAGCGGAAAGCAUCAGCACGAACUCUGGACAAAUUGCAAGAAGGUGACGGAGAUGGAUCAGCACCACGACGUGGCAGCUUUGGCUAAUCUGUCCACUAUGUCACUGUGGGUUGUGUCUGAGGUACGUGUGAGGGAAUCCACAAAAUAUUUAUUAUCAAGGCACGUUGCCGCACUAACGCCAUGAAUGACAAAAUGCGUUGUACUACAUAUGAAGCAGGUUCAGGGGAAGAGAUAACUGAAGGGCGGACUUGGAGUCCCAUAUAUCACAAAGGCAUUAAAACCCCGCUGGCAGAUUAGGCUAACUACGUCUAGCUGGAGGAGACAGGCAGACUGCGGCCGAUCCAGCCUUGUGGUGGCUACUCGACAUCAAGGGGAAAACAACACACUCCGCUGUUCCCUCUGGCUGUAGAGAUCCGUCAGUGUAUACCUUGAGCAGCUCGGGACCUGAGGACAAUAUUGUGGCGAUGGCCUCUAUCGUCAGCUGCCUCUGUAGAGUAGGGAGAGGCGACUUGAAGGUUUGGGUGUAGUGGAGAGAUGGGGUGGGGCUAGGGAAGGGUUCUGCCUCUGGAACAUCAAUUUCCAACCCCUGAAGAAUGGAGGAAACAGCCCAGAUGAAGACCUUCGGCAUACUCCCGGGGGUGUGAUGGAGGGCACUAACAGGGUUCUGUCUUGUUACUCUCUGAAUGGGCUGCUACAUGGUCCCCACCCUCGUCUGCUGGUUAAUAUUGUCUGUAAACUUUCGUAAAGACGCCGUCUUCACACAGCCCUGCAUGUUGAGUAAGGCAUCCCGGGAUGCCUAGUAUCGACGGAGAUUGUCGGGCGUGUGAUCCAUCUGGAAGAGAAAGCCAUCCUGCUUCGCUGUCCUUUCAGCGUGGAAAAUGCGCUCAUCAAGGGCCCAGCCAGAGGAGUAUGCAUCUUUCUUACUGUGAAAAGUGUUUCGGAAACACACUUGGAAUAGAGAGUAUGUGUUGCAUCCACAAGAGAAAUGUAUAGUGCCUCGGGCGAUGCCAAUUGAAAUAUGGGGAAGAGAGCAGACAUAUAGGCUAUAUAAUUAGGGCAGUACUUUGGAGGAAUGGUGAUGUGAUGAUGUUGAUGAGAAGGGUCGUGUUGAGCAGGAAGGGAGUACCGGAAGCUGAGUGUCACAUGGUCAGAGAGGAGAGCAGGAGUGGAGGUACCCGAGACGCGGGCUGCUACCAGGCCGGAUGUGACAAUGUGGUCCAUGGUCCCACCAUGAGCGUGAGUAGCUCCUCUGACGUCCCAGCAAGUGAGGUUGUUGCUUUGAAUGUACCGCAGCGAGUAGCGCCCAUUCCUGUUCAGCAUGGCCUGAUCCCCCACCUCUGGAUGACGGGCAUUGAAGUCCCUGAUGAAAAAUAAUUUCUUGAUCCAUGGGAGGAGGAAGUGCAUUAACCUAUAAUUUGCCUGGAGCAGAGUAUACAUGACAGACCCAGCGAUUAUAAUUAUAUAUAAAGGUACUAGGCCUUGCUGGCGCCCGAGAGUGUAAGAAAGGCAGGAAAAGUGAGUGGCGAGUGUGUGGGGCGACACUGUACUCUCCCCACGGUUUUAGAGGACAAAGUGAAAGAUGGAGGCGGAAGGAAGGGCCAGUGAGCUGCGUAUGCUUGACCUCUGAGUGGACGUCGGGGAAAAAAAAAAAAAUGACACGUUUCGGAAAUAAAUUGUAUCAUAAGUAGAGAACGUGCAUCCCGUUAAGCAGCCGCGCAUUGCAAGGCCACGAGAGUACGUGGUAUGAUCGCAAGUGACACGUCCGGAAAUCAGCGUUUAAUUGCGUGUGUCUUAAUAGAAAAAAAAUAGCUGAUUUCCAAAUUAUACAUCAAAGUAUGACCUCGUCUAGUUCAGGAGAGUCCUUCGUAUAGUAAAACACAUCAAGACGUCUCAGUGUAGAUAUAAAGAUAAUAAAGUAAUAGAUAUAAAGAUGUAAAGUGGAUAGAUAAAUAAGAAAAAAGUGUUAAAUCAUUAGUGUGAGGCCAUUUGUGUGUUGUAAAACACACAAAGGCGCUAAACUCUGUCCACCAAUUAGAGGCAGUUAGGCUCAUUACCGCUCAUGUGCAGUCUUGAGUUCAAUAUAUUACUUUAUGACCGCUGUUUACUUACUGUAUAAAACAUCUGUGACCAGGGUUGUGUCUUUGAGCCAAACUGUGACCAGAUAACACGUCAGGAGCGGUCAGACUUGCCCUUCACCUGAAGCACCACCAUCUGCGCCUUUGUCUUUGCUUAUUACUUGUGAGUGUUGCUUGUGAGUCACCAUUGCCCCUGUUCCUUUUUUGUCAAUAUUGAUACUCGCUGUUACCUAUGUGCGUCUUAUUGAUAGGUAUAUAGUGUGUAUGAAAACUCUGUAUUAGUUCCUCAUGCAUCUGCGAAAUUCCCUUGAUCCUUGAUGCUAUACUCGUAGGUUAGUUUAUUUAUUUAUUUAUUCCGUUAUGUAAGAGGGACACUGGCCAAAAUGCAAGGUUGAAAAGAAUAAUCGAAAAUUGGAGGAUUAACUGGUAGCAUCCUACUCUGUAUCUUCUAUAUAUGUGUUAAUUUAUCUAUCAUAAGCCAGUAUAAGCCUAAAAUCAUCACCUGAUAUUUUACGUCAAUCCAACAAACGUAUUUAAAAAUUUGCGACCACGUUGAUGUUUUUGGUGUAACAUUGUUGGAGAAGCGUGGUGGUAGUGGUGGUGGUGGUAGUGGUGGGACGUGAGGACGUGAGGAUCUGUCACUGACCUUGCGAUGGCUGGCUUACCCUUGAGCAGUGGUGGGUGAAGGAGAUCGAGGGGAAUGAGGCAACCACGACAUCAGGGAACAGGUGUGUGAGGGGACAGGGAUGAGGUAGGAUGAGAUGAGACGCUUCGAUGCCUCUACUGUCCUUCCCUAUACACACACACACACACACACACACACACAUCUGUACGUGACAUUCCUGUUAGUUUAUUUCUUUGGUGGUUAUUUUUCUUCUGUUUUAAUAUUUUUUCUAUUGUUUAUUUAUGUUUUGUCCCUUGUUUCUUUGUUCGAUGGUAAUUUAGUUAUUUAUUUUUUUUUUGUAGAACGUCAGUAAAACAUAAAGGAAAAUCUGCCCUCCGUCCUGUAAUAUUUGGGAAAAUGUUAGGCUUUGUGGAAUAUCUCGUCUUACCUCUCGCGCUCCCUCCUUCCUAGGCAUUGAAAAAGUGCGGGAAAUUUGAAGGUUUAUAAAUGCACUGGUGUGUGUAUGUGUGUGUGAGUGUUAUUGCUAGUUAUCUCUCUCUCUCUCUCUCUCUCUCUCUCUCUCUCUCUCUCUCUCUCUCUCUCUCUCUCUCUCUCUCUCUCUCUCUCUCUCUGUCAGUAGUUGCACAGGUCUUCAAGGGUAUUUUUACGGUUUUAGUGACAGAUUAACAACAUUUCUACAUUAAUAACAGGAGAAACACCAUUGAAAACCCUGAUAAUCAUCUUUAUAGCUUUGAAAAACAGUCGUGAGGAGAGAGAGAGAGAGAGAGAGAGAGAGAGUAGGAGCAUUUCAGUUGAGCCUAUUCUGCCCUGGUUCGUGUUUGCUGCGGUGACACGGUGCCGCACUGAGUGAAGAUUGCGUUCAUAAUCACUUAUCGGGGGUGGAGUGGGGAAAGGAGAGUCAGGAAGUGAGGAUAUUUAUAUUAUUUGACAUAUUAUUUGAUAGCAUGUCAACUUUUGUGUGUGUGUGUGUGUGUGUGUGUGUGGGUGGGUGGGUGUUGGAUCAGUGACAGGUGGCGCUGGGGAGUUACCACGGCGAGCGGCUGGCUGGCUGCAGUGUUUUGGUCAGCACUGGUCAAUCUUGCCCUACACGCUCUAUUAACCAGUGUUUCCGUCUUCCCGACACCUUCUUCCUGCACCAAGCACCGUCAAGCAUCACCAGAGAGGCACGAGUACGUAAGCUAUCCAACAUCAGAACAGUAUAUGAAUAUGGCAAAUGCUGUUUUGACAUCAUUUCCUGCCAUCCUGAGAAACAGUGAUCUCGAGGAGCAUGAAUUGCAGCUGCAAUGGAAAUUGCGCAUCCAGCGCAAGUUUCAGAAUUCAAGAAAGAGGCAGGAUUCCUCAGUGACUGAGGUGACGUCGAGUAAAAAGAAGAUCCCUUGCAUAGCGCCAAAAGAGACUACGUGUCCACUGAUGUAUGGAGUAAAGGCUUACCUUCCACCAAGGCCCCAUUCAUAAGAUGAUGAGUCAUUAGAGAGACAUAGACAGUGGCUUGCUCUACAUUGGAUGAAGAAAGAUCCUGAGUUAGAUAAGCUAUCCAACAUCAGAACAGUAUAUGAAUAUGGCAAAUGCUGUUUUGACAUCAUUUCCUGCCAUCCUGAGAAACAGUGAUCUCGAGGAGCAUGAAUUGCAGCUGCAAUGGAAAUUGCGCAUCCAGCGCAAGUUUCAGAAUUCAAGAAAGAGGCAGGAUUCCUCAGUGACUGAGGUGACGUCGAGUAAAAAGAAGAUCCCUUGCAUAGCGCCAAAAGAGACUACGUGUCCACUGAUGUAUGGAGUAAAGGCUUACCUUCCACCAAGGCCCCAUUCAUAAGAUGAUGAGUCAUUAGAGAGACAUAGACAGUGGCUUGCUCUACAUUGGAUGAAGAAAGAUCCUGAGUUAGAUAAGCUAUCCAACAUCAGAACAGUAUAUGAAUAUGGCAAAUGCUGUUUUGACAUCAUUUCCUGCCAUCCUGAGAAACAGUGAUCUCGAGGAGCAUGAAUUGCAGCUGCAAUGGAAAUUGCGCAUCCAGCGCAAGUUUCAGAAUUCAAGAAAGAGGCAGGAUUCCUCAGUGACUGAGGUGACGUCGAGUAAAAAGAAGAUCCCUUGCAUAGCGCCAAAAGAGACUACGUGUCCACUGAUGUAUGGAGUAAAGGCUUACCUUCCACCAAGGCCCCAUUCAUAAGAUGAUGAGUCAUUAGAGAGACAUAGACAGUGGCUUGCUCUACAUUGGAUGAAGAAAGAUCCUGAGUUAGAUAAGCUAUCCAACAUCAGAACAGUAUAUGAAUAUGGCAAAUGCUGUUUUGACAUCAUUUCCUGCCAUCCUGAGAAACAGUGAUCUCGAGGAGCAUGAAUUGCAGCUGCAAUGGAAAUUGCGCAUCCAGCGCAAGUUUCAGAAUUCAAGAAAGAGGCAGGAUUCCUCAGUGACUGAGGUGACGUCGAGUAAAAAGAAGAUCCCUUGCAUAGCGCCAAAAGAGACUACGUGUCCACUGAUGUAUGGAGUAAAGGCUUACCUUCCACCAAGGCCCCAUUCAUAAGAUGAUGAGUCAUUAGAGAGACAUAGACAGUGGCUUGCUCUACAUUGGAUGAAGAAAGAUCCUGAGUUAGAUAAGAUAAUCAAGGAGUUCCUGAGAUUAGAACCACAAGCAGAUGAACCAGACCCAAGAGUAGCAGUUUUGAAAGGGCUGGAGAAAUAUAGGCUCCCAAUAAUUGCCAUUCUCAAAAAAAAGAAAAGCAGUUCCUCUGUAUAUGGAAACCUUACUUGAACUCUAUGACCACGAUGAAAGUCAAUGCGAAUGCUUGCUUAGUUAUAUUGGGGUUACUUCACCUGCUUGGAGAAAGGAAAGACUCCAUUUUUACUAAGGUAACAGAAGAAGAACUAAGAACAGGGCAGUCUAGUGUGUAUUUGAUGGUGCACUUGUAGCUGAACCAACAUGUAUUUCUAUGGCUGUAGUCUCAUUGGUAGCAGGGCUUUGUGUUUAAUAUUGAACACCCAAAAAAAUUGUGAACAUUUCCUCCGUUUCACAACAUCCCAUCUCUUAGGUAUCAAGUAUGACAAAGGUAACACUUCAAAAACAAGAUCUCUACUUGUAAAACUCAAUGAAGUAAAGACAGAAUUGAGCUACAAAAAUGCAUAAAUCUGCUUCCAAAUAUAUUCAACUCCACACAUAAUGCCCCUCUCUCUCUCUCUCUCUCUCUCUCUCUCUCUCUCUCUCUCUCUCUCUCUCUCUCUCUCUCUCUCUCUCUCUCUCUCACACACACACACACACACUAGUCAAUUACUAGUUAAAGAUUAAUCAGUGAAAUAAAUACAUAACAUUAUGUUAAUAAGUUUUCUAAAAGGAAAAGGAAAUACCUGUACUUCCCCUUCCCCC